GCGCAAUGCCCCAAAGAGUGACAGUAGGUCCAGAAACUAACACCUUAACUUUGAGCGCCUAUAACUUCUUCAUAAAAACCCCAAAUGACACAAAAAUUGCACCUAAACCAUAGCCAAAAUCCUAAACCUUCUGACUCCAGCCUCUAAAGUUCGAAUGGCCUCGAGAAACUAACCCUAAUCCCUAAUAUGGCCUCGGGCAGCCUCUUCAAAGCCCAUUGAUCAUGAUUUUUGACCAAUAGAAAUGAAGAUUUUCAUUAUUCAUCUCCAUUCAUCUAUAUUGGUUCCCUAAUUACUCCCUUUGCUACCAAAAUCCUUCUUCAAUCCUUUUUCUUAUAAGAUUUAUAUAAUUUAUGCUCUAAACACCAAAUAAAAGAACCAAAAGAA
rnacentral:lncRNA from 1 species